rnacentral:lncRNA from 1 species
AGAAAAUUACUAAAAAAUAUCAAAUGAUAAAAUAAAAAAUAUUAAAAAUCAUUUUUAGAAAGUAGAAAUUAAAAGGAGAAAAAUGAAAUUGGUCCCAUAAUUUUUGGACCAAUAAUGAGAGAUAUGAAUUUUUAAAAAGAAAUGGAAUUAAAAGAAAUAAAAGAAUUAAAAAUCAAACAAUAAAAAAUAGGAAAUGCGUG